GCCCAGAGGGUUUGUGUAAAGCUGCAAUGUUUGCUCUACUUGUCAAAGAGGAGCUAGAAUUUUUGCCAGAACAGAGCACCGGCCAAAGGAAAUGGCUAGUCAUUCCAGAAGCAGUUGGGAGUUGCAGGCAUGCAUGGAUGCAAGAGGCCCUUGAAGAAGGCUUCUCCAAGUGGUAUGCUGAGAAGGAAGUAACAGAAAACAAUACCCAUGAGGAUGCUGUUCCAAUUUGUUUAUUCUUUUGGCAUUGCUUGUUUAUACCCAUGUUCCUGCGGGCUGUGACUACCUCAUGCUAACGACACCUUUAAAAUAUUUAUAUUUAGCAAAAAAAAAAUAUUUUUGGAUAUCA